GACGAACGCUGGCGGCAUGCCUAACACAUGCAAGUCGAACGAAGCUUCGGGCUUAGUGGCGCACGGGUGCGUAACGCGUGGGAAUCUGCCCUUGGGUUCGGAAUAACAGUUAGAAAUGACUGCUAAUACCGGAUGAUGUCUUCGGACCAAAGAUUUAUCGCCCAAGGAUGAGCCCGCGUAGGAUUAGGUAGUUGGUGGGGUAAUGGCCCACCAAGCCGACGAUCCUUAGCUGGUCUGAGAGGAUGAUCAGCCACACUGGGACUGAGACACGGCCCAGACUCCUACGGGAGGCAGCAGUGGGGAAUAUUGGACAAUGGGCGAAAGCCUGAUCCAGCAAUGCCGCGUGAGUGAUGAAGGCCUUAGGGUUGUAAAGCUCUUUUACCAGGGAUGAUAAUGACAGUACCUGGAGAAUAAGCUCCGGCUAACUCCGUGCCAGCAGCCGCCGCGGUAA
rnacentral:rRNA from 1 species